rnacentral:rRNA from 1 species
UACGAAGGGGGCUAGCGUUGUUCGGAUUUACUGGGCGUAAAGCGCAUGUAGGCGGGUCGUUAAGUUGGGGGUGAAAUCCCGAGGCUCAACCUCGGAACUGCCUUCAAAACUGGCGACCUGGAGCGUGAUAGAGGCGAGUGGAAUUCCGAGUGUAGAGGUGAAAUUCGUAGAUAUCGAGAGGAACACCGGUGGCGAAGGCGGCCUUCUGGACAGUGACUGACGCUGAGACGCGAAAGCGUGGGGAGCAAACAGG